AGCAGCCGCGGUAAUUCCAGCUCCAAUAGCGUAUAUUAAAGUUGUUGCAGUUAAAAAGCUCGUAGUUGAAUUUCGGGGUUCUACCGUUGGUCGGGCUUUGUCUGUACUGGCGUGUAGAAUUUCUACCUUCUGGGGAACCGUCAUGUUAUUUAUUUAGCGUGGUGGGAAACCAGGACCUUUACCUUGAAAAAAUUAGAGUGUUCAAAGCAGGCUUACGUCUGAAUACAUCAGCAUGGAAUAAUAAAAUAGGACGGUGGUCCUGUUUUGUUGGUUUCUGAAUCACCGUAAUGAUUAAUAGGGAUAGUUGGGGGCAUUAGUAUUCAAUUGUCAGGGGUGAAAUUCUUGGAUUUAU
rnacentral:rRNA from 1 species